rnacentral:tRNA from 1 species
GCAGAUAUAGUUUAACCAAAACGUUGGAUUGUGAUUCCAAAAACAGGGGUUCAACUCCCCUUAUCCGCC